GACGAACGCUGGCGGCGUGCCUAAUACAUGCAAGUCGAACGGAAAGGCCCCCACCUUGCUUCUCUUGCUUUAGCGGCGAACGGGUGAGUAACACGUGGGUGACCUGCCUAUUAGUUCGGGAUAACUUCGGGAAACCGUAUCUAAUACCGGAUGAGAUUUUGGUCCAGAUUCUUCUGGAGUAAAAAUCAUUGUUUCUGUCCCGUAUGAGCUCGCGCCCCAUUCGUUAGUUGGUAGGUUAAUGGCCUACUUAGCCAUCGAUGGAUAGGUGACCGGCGAGGGUGAUUGGCCAGACUGGAACGGAGAGAGGGUCCAGACUGCUACGGGAGGCAGCAGGAGGGAAUCUUCAGCAAUGGGCGAAAGCAUGACGGAGGAACGCCGCGUGAGUGAGGAAGGUCUUCGGAUCGGAAAAAUAUGUCAUUAGGGAAGAACAUAGGUGUACGUAACUGGGCAGAGCUGGACGUUACCUAGUCAGAAAGCCCCGGCUAACUACGUG
rnacentral:rRNA from 1 species